GGUUUUUCAAGGUAUUUAGGCUCCAGAAAUGCAUAUCAUUAAUUGAGUGUUUCCCAAAAUGGCAAAGUAAGCUGGGAAUGAGCCUACUGCUGGCUAUCAGUAGCAGCCAUGCUGCUUUAUUGAUUUGUGAGCAGAAACAAAAAACAAAAGCCAUAUAGAAAAAGGGAAGGUAAAUGUAAGAGAGGUGGUUAUACAAAGAGAGAUGGAAAUUGCCCAAGUUUGCAUCUCUGGCUGUUAUCAAUACACACUUGGAAAACCCACUUCUGUGGACUAUGGCUUGUAAUUUAAUUCUGCGUGGCAGAUCUGGGACUCUGGGGAGCAAUAAUACUACAGGACUCAUCAGGCUUACUGGAGAUAAAUAACAUAAUUUUUAUUGUCCUAAUAACUUUGUGGACUGGCUAUCCCCCUCUAAUUAAAGCCCUUGAACCUCCUUCUGCACGGAAUCACUGAGGCAUCCCUUAAUACUACAGCUCCAUGGACAACCUUAUCCCCAUGGAGACAGAACAAAAUUGCUUUUUUACAUCACUGAACUGUCACAGCUCCACUAUGCUCAUACAAAGCAGCACUUUGGAUUUUCAGACCGGGAAUACUAUGCACUUUUCUCACAGAUGGCAACAACAUCAGAAAGGAAAAAAUCUGCCUUUAAAACAUCAACAUGUUCGUGCCUGUGCUGCGACUUUGAGCUUGUUAGCCACCUCCUUUGAAACUCUUCCUUGUUGCAUUGAUCCAGUUGCAGAGAUGCUCAUGACAGGACAGCCUCACUAUUCCCAGCUGCCUGCAAAGGAUCUAUCUACAUGGCACGCUAAUUUUUCCUCGCUUAACAGAUUAAUUACAUGAAUGCAAAGAAUGUUGUUGGUGUUCAGCUACAGUCUGAAAAAGGAAAGGAGUUUGGAGUAGUGACUGAGCAAUGGUUGAGGCUGUGUGUGUAUGAAUUAUAUUCUAGCCAUGUUCGUUGAUUUAAACAGCAGACCUGCACAAGAGAAAAUCUGGAUAUCCCUUCACUAGAGGACCACAAACCAGGUUACUGGUUUCAGUCCUUCCUAUCAUUUUCUUUCACAAGCAAGUGUAAUGGAAAUGCUAAGUCAUGGCUUGAACCAGUGAUUGAGCACCUGGUGGGAAGGCAGGGCCAACCCAGGGGACCUCAGGUGCAUGCAAUGUACUUGAGUGACCAG
rnacentral:lncRNA from 1 species